rnacentral:misc_RNA from 1 species
CGCCACCUAGACCCCCUAUGGAUGAUUUGGGUGAUGAUUAUGAGGAAGACCAAGAUGUUGAUGAUGAGCAGCAAUCCUAUGCCUAUGAUGAUACAUAUAAGCUGAGAGGUAUGCGAGGUAGAAGAGGUAGAGGAGUUAGAGGAGUUAGAAGAAAUAUGAUGGACACAAGAGGGAGAGCUAGGAUAGAUAACAAUGUCAAUGGAAUCAAAAUGAAAAUUCCUCCAUUUCAAGGAAAGGCGAAUCUGGAUGCUUACUUGGACCAAGAGAGAAGAGUAGAGCUGGUGUUUGAUUGCCAUAAUUAUAGUGAGGAUAAGAAGGUGAAGUUAGCUGUUGUGGAAUUCACAGAUUAUGCAAUUG